UGCGUCAUGACGCAAUCUUGCGUGACGCGCUGCCAAACAGUCACUUAAGCGAAGUCCUCCGAGGACUGCUCCUGUCUGUCACAGCCGCUGCAGAGAGUGAACUGAAGCGAAACUGCUGGUUUAAAGAUGUUUGACUGAGAAUGAUCUGUACUCUACUGUCCGCCCGUGAGUGACCCUCGCGGCUCUUCAGACGCAUCAGUAUGCUGGAGAAUCCUUCUCUUCCUCUGUGUCUGUAUCAGCACGUGCCAAAACAUAGGGAAAAGGGAAGCGAUAAAGAAAAAACCUAUCAUCUGAGCCUGGAUUUCUUGGACUGCAAAGCUGAGAUAAGGAAACGCGUUCAAGCUUAUUCAAAUGGGGAAAUUGGUUUUGAUCACAUUGCUGAGGUUUUUGAGCUGUGGCGAAAAGAACUCCUUAGUGAGUGCUCGCCAGGCACGGCUCCAACUCGAUGAAGACAUCUUGACUGAGUGAGGAUACAAAAAUCUUCCAUUCAGUGAGCUGCAGGUCCUAUUCAAUGACUAACACAAUUAUACCAACACACACACCUCCAUCCGCUUUCAUAAGGUCUGGGUUGCACACACACAUGAACCCACACAGACAGCCUUGUACUGUUUGUUUUUCAUUGAUUAUACAGGCAUUCGUUUCCAAACAGCUCUUCACCUAGACUCCACACUGCUGCAUACAAGAAACACAAUGCACACUAACCAGAGCAGAUGCUCGGAGACUUGAGUGUGUGCCGCAUGAUAAUGUGCUAAACCUUUGUACACCUCUUUGUUGGGAAAAAAUCUCAAUUACACGUACACAAAUAGAAGCAUGGAUGUACAAGCAAACACACUUCUGUAAGGCUCCGUCUGUGGUAACAAAAAGGCAAAGAUCAUUGUAAACCGAACUAAAAUUCUUUGAUUUCAUCAAAACUAGUACGCUAUAUCUCUAUAUGUGACCCUGAACCACAAAACCUUAAAGAAACCACUUGUUUUGAAAAUAGGGUUAUUUCCCUGAG